GGAAUCUUGCGCAAUGGUCUCACGACUGACGCAGCGACGCCGCGUGGGGGAGGAAGGGCUUCGGCUCGUAAACCCCUGUUGCCCGGGACGAACCUGCUCUUUCGAGAGCACUGACGGUACCGGGUGAGGAAGCACCGGCUAACUCCGUGCCAGCAGCCGCGGUAAUACGGAGGGUGCGAGCGUUGUCCGGAAUCACUGGGCGUAAAGGGCGCGUAGGCGGUUUCUCAAGCGCGUGGUGAAAGCCCGGGGCUCAACUGCGGGCUUGCAGUCGAUACGGGCAGGCUGGAGUUCGGUAGGGGAGACUGGAAUUCCUGGUGUAGCGGUGAAAUGCGCAGAUAUCAGGAGGAACACCGGUGGCGAAGGCGGGUCUCUGGGCCGAUACUGACGCUGAGGAGCGAAAGCGUGGGGAGCGAACAGGA
rnacentral:misc_RNA from 1 species